CGCGCCUCUUCCCCAGACCCCCACCCCCGCAGGCAGAGGGUCGUCCUUCCUCUUGGUCAGCCAAGUGCCGGAUGACCUAAAACAAGCCCACAGAGUGCGCAGAACAGCUGGAAAUUCCACAGCAGGGCCGCCUGUCAAAGAGCAAGUCACUCCCCUUAACUCUGCGCCAAGCGGCCAAGCGAAAUCUGAGCUGCACAGGUUCUUGGAAACCCACACCUACCCCCUUUCUACUAGUUUUCCGCCUGGCACAAACACUGCCUUUCCUUUUAUUUAUUAAAUAGCCAAAGUUCA